UACGUAGGGACCAAGCGUUGUUCGGAUUUACUGGGCGUAAAGGGCGCGUAGGCGGCAUGACAAGUCACUUGUGAAAUCUCCGGGCUUAACUCGGAACGGCCAAGUGAUACUGUCACGCUAGAGUGCAGAAAGGGCAAUCGGAAUUCUUGGUGUAGCGGUGAAAUGCGCAGAUAUCAGGAAGAACACCCGUGGCUAAGGCGGCUCUCUAGUACGGUACUGACGCUGAGACGCGAAAGCGUGGGGAGCGAACAGG
rnacentral:rRNA from 1 species